ACUAAUUAUUAAUUAUUCGUGGCGUAAGAUUCACACAUAAUGACUAGAUAUUUUUCUUUUCUUGUUUAAUUUAUUAAGUACUAGAUUUUAACCCGCGGUACACCGCAGGAACAAUUUAUUUUAUAAAGGUAGCAUAUAUAAAAGUUUGCAAAGUGUAUCUAUCUAUAAAAUAUUUUUAUUUUAUAGUUUACAAUUGUUAUUAAGUAACGUCCUGUCAAAUCUGUCCCGUCAACCCGUCUCGUAAAAAAAACAAA
rnacentral:sRNA from 1 species